AUUGAACGCUGGCGGCAUGCCUUACACAUGCAAGUCGAACGGUAACAGGUCUUCGGAUGCUGACGAGUGGCGAACGGGUGAGUAAUACAUCGGAACGUGCCUAGUAGUGGGGGAUAACUACUCGAAAGAGUGGCUAAUACCGCAUGAGAUCUAAGGAUGAAAGCAGGGGAUCGCAAGACCUUUCGCUACUAGACCGGCCGACGACAGAUUAGGUAGUUGGUGGGAUAAAAGCUUACCAAGCCGACGAUCUGUAGCUGGUCUGAGAGGACGAUCAGCCACACUGGGACUGAGACACGGCCCAGACUCCUACGGGAGGCAGCAGUGGGGAAUUUUGGACAAUGGGCGAAAGCCUGAUCCAGCAAUGCCGCGUGCAGGAUGAAGGCCUUCGGGUUGUAAACUGCUUUUGUACGGAACGAAAAGCCCCGGGUUAAUACCCUGGGGUCAUGACGGUACCGUAAGAAUAAGCACCGGCUAACUACGUGCCAGCCGCCGCAGUAA
rnacentral:rRNA from 1 species